rnacentral:miRNA from 1 species
CGUCUGUGUGUGUGUGUGUG